UGAUCCCUUCCAACACUUAAUCUGGUUAUAUGAUUUCCCGGAUCCAUUUUCCUUUCCUUUCUCAAUGCAUUUGGAAGUCAACUAAUUGUAAAAAAAAAAAACUGUUUCUAGAUGCUCUUCAUAUUCUAAGACUGGUACAACUCACUUGUUUUUCUUCCCUCCAGAAUAAAACAGGGGCUGGGACUCUUGUCUGUGAAAAUUUAGAUUCCAACAACCUCAUCAUCAUCCGAACAGGUCGGUGCUUUGUAUUGGCUCAGAUAAGAGAGAGUAUAUCUACCAAAAGUGCUUUGGCAACAGUGAAGUCAGCACCUACAAGUUUUUCCAAGAAAUGUCAUUCAGUUCCUCAGAUAACAUCGUUUGCCUCAUUGUCACCACAAUCCUCGGCUACAUGACCUACUCUGAGAACCCUUGAUAAUGCUAUCAGCUUGAGCCCAUAUUCCAAUGUAUUCUGCUCAUCAAUUGUCGGUAUCAUUUUAUGAAUUUAUAUUAACUAAUAAAAUAACUUAUAUUAACUAAUUUAUUUUAUUGAUAU
rnacentral:lncRNA from 1 species